CACUCCUACGGGAGGCAGCAGUGGGGAAUAUUGGACAAUGGGCGCAAGCCUGAUCCAGCCAUGCCGCGUGAGUGAUGAAGGCCCUAGGGUUGUAAAGCUCUUUCACCGGUGAAGAUAAUGACGGUAACCGGAGAAGAAGCCCCGGCUAACUUCGUGCCAGCAGCCGCGGUAAUACGAAGGGGGCUAGCGUUGUUCGGAUUUACUGGGCGUAAAGCGCACGUAGGCGGACUAUUAAGUCAGGGGUGAAAUCCCGGGGCUCAACCCCGGAACUGCCUUUGAUACUGGUAGUCUUGAGUUCGAGAGAGGUGAGUGGAAUUCCGAGUGUAGAGGUGAAAUUCGUAGAUAUUCGGAGGAACACCAGUGGCGAAGGCGGCUCACUGGCUCGAUACUGACGCUGAGGUGCGAAAGCGUGGGGAACAAACAGGAUUAGAAACCCUAGUAGUCCCAUG
rnacentral:rRNA from 1 species